rnacentral:rRNA from 1 species
UACGGGGGGGGCAAGCGUUGUUCGGAAUUACUGGGCGUAAAGGGCUCGUAGGCGGCCAACUAAGUCAGACGUGAAAUCCCUCGGCUUAACCGGGGAACUGCGUCUGAUACUGGAUGGCUUGAGUUUGGGAGAGGGAUGCGGAAUUCCAGGUGUAGCGGUGAAAUGCGUAGAUAUCUGGAGGAACACCGGUGGCGAAGGCAGCUCUCUGGGACGGUACUGACACUGAGACGCGAAAGCGUGGGGAGCGAACAGG